rnacentral:rRNA from 1 species
GACUACACAUGCAAGUCGAACGGCAGCACAGAAGAGCUUGCUCUUCGGGUGGCGAGUGGCGGACGGGUGAGUAAUGUCUGGGAAACUGCCCGAUGGAGGGGGAUAACUACUGGAAACGGUAGCUAAUACCGCAUAACGUCGCAAGACCAAAGUGGGGGACCUUCGGGCCUCACACCAUCGGAUGUGCCCAGAUGGGAUUAGCUAGUAGGUGGGGUAACGGCUCACCUAGGCGACGAUCCCUAGCUGGUCUGAGAGGAUGACCAGCCACACUGGAACUGAGACACGGUCCAGACUCCUACGGGAGGCAGCAGUGGGGAAUAUUGCACAAUGGGCGCAAGCCUGAUGCAGCCAUGCCGCGUGUAUGAAGAAGGCCUUCGGGUUGUAAAGUACUUUCAGCGGGGAGGAAGGCGACGCGGUUAAUAACCGGGUCGAUUGACGUUACCCGCAGAAGAAGCACCGGCUAACUCCGUGCCAGCAGCCGCGGUAAUACGGAGGGUGCAAGCGUUAAUCGGAAUUACUGGGCGUAAAGCGCACGCAGGCGGUCUGUCAAGUCGGAUGUGAAAUCCCCGGGCUUAACCUGGGAACUGCAUUCGAAACUGGCAGGCUAGAGUCUUGUAGAGGGGGGUAGAAUUCCAGGUGUAGCGGUGAAAUGCGUAGAGAUCUGGAGGAAUACCGGUGGCGAAGGCGGCCCCCUGGACAAAGACUGACGCUCAGGUGCGAAAGCGUGGGGAGCAAACAGGAUUAGAU